rnacentral:rRNA from 1 species
UGCGUAGGCGGGGCAAUUAGUCAGUGGUGAAAUCCUGCGGCUUAACCGUAGUACUGCCAUUGAUACUGUUGCUCUUGAGUAUAGUUGAGGUGGGCGGAAUGUGUAAUGUAGCGGUGAAAUGCAUAGAGAUUACACAGAACACCAAUUGCGAAGGCAGCUCACUAAGCUAUAACUGACGCUGAGGCACGAAAGCGUGGGGAGCGAACAGGAUUAGAUACCCUGGUAGUCC